rnacentral:rRNA from 1 species
AUGACCGCCGCCGAGCUGCAGGCGGAGCUGCUCCGCGCCCAGCUCGAGGAGCACAACAUCGAGGGAGAUGAGCCUAUCGUUGAGGACGAUGAUGACAACGAUGAGGAUGAGGAUGAAAAAGAUGACGAUGACGUUGCGGGAGUUGAUGCUACUGGAAGAUCUAGGCAGAGUAGGAGUGAGAAGAAGAGCAGGAAAGCCAUGGAGAAGCUUGGCAUGGAUUUAUGA